CAUAUUAUACAACAUGUACCUGACAAAGUCAGUCAGAACGUUACUUUAUUUUCAGUCUCUUUUUUUUAUAUGAUAAUUGUACUGGUAUGUUAUCUUA